rnacentral:misc_RNA from 1 species
GAAAUGCGAUAAGUAAUGUGAAUUGCAGAAUUCAGUGAAUCAUCGAAUCUUUGAACGCACCUUGCGCUCCUUGGUAUUCCUUGGAGCAUGCCUGUUUGAGUAUCAUGAAAUCUUCAAAGUAUAUCUUUUGUUAACUCAAUUGGUUUCUACUUUGGUAUUGGAGGUCUUUGCAGCUUCACACCUGCUCCUCUUUGUUCAUUAGCUGGAUCUCAGUGUUAUGCUUGGUUCCACUCGGCGUGAUAAGUUAUCUAUCGCUGAGGACACUGUAAAAGGUGGCCAAGGUAAAUGCAGAUGAACCGCUUCUAAUAGUCCAUUGACUUGGACAAUACUUUUAUGAUCUGAUCUCAAAUCAGGUAUGACUACCCGCUGAACUUAAGC